GACGAACGCUGGCGGCGUGCCUAAUACAUGCAAGUCGAGCGAAGUUUUUCUGGUGCUUGCACUAGAAAAACUUAGCGGCGAACGGGUGAGUAACACGUAAAGAACCUGCCUCAUAGACUGGGACAACUAUUGGAAACGAUAGCUAAUACCGGAUAACAGUAUUUCUCGCAUGAGAGAUAUUUAAAAGUUGGUUAUGCUAACACUAUGAGAUGGCUUCGCGGUGCAUUAGCUAGUUGGUGGGGUAAAGGCCCACCAAGGCGACGAUGCAUAGCCGACCUGAGAGGGUGAUCGGCCACACUGGGACUGAGACACGGCCCAGACUCCUACGGGAGGCAGCAGUAGGGAAUCUUCCGCAAUGGGCGAAAGCCUGACGGAGCAACGCCGCGUGAGUGAAGAAGGAUUUCGGUUCGUAAAGCUCUGUUGUUAGGGAAGAAUGGAUAUGUAGUAACUAUACAUGUAAGAGACGGUACCUAACCAGAAAGCCACGGCUAACUACGUG
rnacentral:rRNA from 1 species